rnacentral:rRNA from 1 species
GGAAGUAAAAGUCGUAACAAGGUUUCCGUAGGUGAACCUGCGGAAGGAUCAUUAAAGAGUAAGGGUGCUCAGCGCCCGACCUCCAACCCUUUGUUGUUAAAACUACCUUGUUGCUUUGGCGGGACCGCUCGGUUCCGAGCCGCUGGGGAUUCGUCCCAGGCGAGCGCCCGCCAGAGUUAAACCAAACUCUUGCUAUUAAACCGGUCGUCUGAGUUAAAAUUUCGAAUAAAUCAAAACUUUCAACAACGGAUCUCUUGGUUCUCGCAUCGAUGAAGAACGCAGCGAAAUGCGAUAAGUAAUGUGAAUUGCAGAAUUCAGUGAAUCAUCGAAUCUUUGAACGCACAUUGCGCCCCUUGGUAUUCCGAGGGGCAUGCCUGUUCGAGCGUCAUUACACCACUCAAGCUAUGCUUGGUAUUGGGUGCCGUCCUUAGUUGGGCGCGCCUUAAAGACCUCGGCGAGGCCUCACCGGCUUUAGGCGUAGUAGAAUUUAUUCGAACGUCUGUCAAAGGAGAGGAACUCUGCCGAUUGAAACCUUUAUUUUUCUAGGUUGACCUCGGAUCAGGUAGGGAUACCCGCUGAACUUAAGCAUAUCAAUAAGCGGAGGA